GACGAACGCUCGGCGGCGCGCCUAACACAUGCAAGUCGAACGAGAGAAGAGGAGCUUGCUCUUCAAAUCGAGUGGCGAACGGGUGAGUAACGCGUGAGGAACCUGCCUCAAAGAGGGGGACAACAGUUGGAAACGACUGCUAAUACCGCAUAAGCCCACGGCUCGGCAUCCAGCAGAGGGAAAAGGAGCAAUCCGCUUUGAGAUGGCCUCGCGUCCGAUUAGCUAGUUGGUGAGGUAACGGCCCACCAAGGCGACGAUCGGUAGCCGGACUGAGAGGUUGAACGGCCACAUUGGGACUGAGACACGGCCCAGACUCCUACGGGAGGCAGCAGUGGGGAAUAUUGCACAAUGGGGGAAACCCUGAUGCAGCGACGCCGCGUGGAGGAAGAAGGUCUUCGGAUUGUAAACUCCUGUUGUUGAGGAAGAUAAUGACGGUACUCAACAAGGAAGUGACGGCUAACUACGUGCCAGCAGCCGCGGUAAAACGUAGGUCACAAGCGUUGUCCGGAAUUACUGGGUGUAAAGGGAGCGCAGGCGGGAGAACAAGUUGGAAGUGAAAUCCAUGGGCUCAACCCAUGAACUGCUUUCAAAACUGUUUUUCUUGAGUAGUGCAGAGGUAGGCGGAAUUCCCGGUGUAGCGGUGGAAUGCGUAGAUAUCGGGAGGAACACCAGUGGCGAAGGCGGCCUACUGGGCACCAACUAACGCUGAGGCUCGAAAGUGUGGGUAGCAAACAGGAUUAGAUACCCUGGUAGUCCACACCGUAAACGAUGAUUACUAGGUGUUGGAGGAUUGACCCCUUCAGUGCCGCAGUUAACACAAUAAGUAAUCCACCUGGGGAGUACGACCGCAAGGUUGAAACUCAAAGGAAUUGACGGGGGCCCGCACAAGCAGUGGAGUAUGUGGUUUAAUUCGACGCAACGCGAAGAACCUUACCAAGUCUUGACAUCCCUUGACGAUGCUGGAAACAGUAUUUCUCUUCGGAGCAAGGAGACAGGUGGUGCAUGGUUGUCGUCAGCUCGUGUCGUGAGAUGUUGGGUUAAGUCCCGCAACGAGCGCAACCCUUAUGGUCAGUUACUACGCAAGAGGACUCUGGCCAGACUGCCGUUGACAAAACGGAGGAAGGUGGGGAGGACGUCAAAUCAUCAUGCCCUUUAUGACUUGGGCUACCCACGUACCCCAAGGGGGUCAAACAAAGAGAAGCAAGACCGGGAGGGGGAGCAAAAUUCAGAAACAACGUCCCAGUUCGGACUGCAGGCUGCAACUCGCCUGCAGGAAGUCGGAAUUGUUAGUAAUCGUGGAUCAGCAUGCCACGGUGAAUACGUUCCCGGGCCUU
rnacentral:rRNA from 1 species